rnacentral:rRNA from 1 species
AGAGUUUGAUCCUGGCUCAGAAUCAACGCUGGCGGCGUGCCUAACACAUGCAAGUCGAACGAGAAAGUGGUAGCAAUACCAUGAGUAAAGUGGCGCACGGGUGAGUAACACGUGACUAACCUACCCUGGAGUGGGGGAUAACUGAGGGAAACCUUAGCUAAUACCGCAUAAUACCCACGGGUCAAAGGAGCAAUUCGCUCCAGGAGGGGGUCGCGGCCGAUUAGUUAGUUGGCGGGGUAACGGCCCACCAAGACGAUGAUCGGUAUCCGGCCUGAGAGGGCGCACGGACACACUGGAACUGAAACACGGUCCAGACUCCUACGGGAGGCAGCAGUGGGGAAUUUUGCGCAAUGGGGGAAACCCUGACGCAGCAACGCCGCGUGGAGGAUGAAGUCCUUCGGGACGUAAACUCCUUUCGAUCGGGACGAUAAUGACGGUACCGGAAGAAGAAGCCCCGGCUAACUUCGUGCCAGCAGCCGCGGUAAUACGAGGGGGGCGAGCGUUGUUCGGAAUUAUUGGGCGUAAAGGGUGCGUAGGCGAUUUGGUAAGUCUUAUGUGAAAUCUAUGGGCUCAACUCAUAGACUGCAUGAGAAACUGCCGGGCUCGAGUGUGGGAGAGGUGAGUGGAAUUUCCGGUGUAGCGGUGAAAUGCGUAGAUAUCGGAAGGAACACCUGUGGCGAAAGCGGCUCACUGGACCACAACUGACGCUGAUGCACGAAAGCUAGGGGAGCAAACAGGAUUAGAUACCCCCGUAGUCC